CAGAGGGCAGAGCCAGAGAAGUGACCCAAGCCUUAUGGAGGAGCCCAGAACAUUAGAGAGGGCAUGUUGAAGCCAUGGGGAGCAGUAAGCAGCACCCUCCAUGGCCUCUGCAUCAGUCCCUGCCUCCAUUUGAGUUCCUAUUCUGACUUCCUUCGAUGAUGAACAGUGAUGUAAAAGUAUUCCAAGGAAGCCAUUUUCUUCAGUUCUGUGACCUGUGCUAGCAAACGGUUGGCCAUGAGGAGAGGAUUAUGGGAGCCCCCAACUGUUAGCUCACCAGCUCGAAGUAGAAGAGGCAACGGACAUUGGCUUGGUGUCUGCCGUAGCGAUGGUCUCUGAAGGACUGAACUUUACCACGUGGGCACUGAAAUACUGUUGGGUAGUUAGUACCAGAACUGAACGGAGUGUAGAGACGUUAGUUGGUGUCUGGCCUUGAGCUAUGGAGAUGAAUAAAACCCAAAGGCCCUCCUUCUCGUAUGCUGCAUAGAUUCCAGCUGGGAGAAAAGAAAACAAAAGAACAGGAGAUAAGAAACCAGCAUGCUGAAAACAAAAGCAAGGCAAUUUGAUGAAGAGGAAGAGGAAGGACCACACUUUUCCAAAUAUUUUCCUAGUAACUCGAGAUACCUUGCUCAUCAGGUGACAAUGGGGGAAGCCUUACCCGGAUGAUCAAAGUUUUAUCAACCACUCAGGGAAAGUAGCAACAGCUAUGCUAUGCUAU
rnacentral:lncRNA from 1 species